UUAUCCGGAUUUACUGGGUGUAAAGGGCGAGUAGGCGGAUUGGCAAGUUGGGAGUGAAAUGUCGGGGCUUAACCCCGGAACUGCUUCCAAAACUGUUGAUCUUGAGUGAUGGAGAGGCAGGCGGAAUUCCCAGUGUAGCGGUGAAAUGCGUAGAUAUUGGGAGGAACACCAGUGGCGAAGGCGGCCUGCUGGACAUUAACUGACGCUGAGGAGCGAAAGCGUGGGGAGCAAACAGGAUUAGAUACCCUGGUAGUCCACGCCGUAAACGAUGGAUACUAGGUGUGGGAGGUAUUGACCCCUUCCGUGCCGCAGUUAACACAUUAAGUAUCCCACCUGGGGAGUACGACCGCAAGGUUGAAACUCAAAGGAAUUGACGGGGGCCCGCACAAGCAGUGGAGUAUGUGGUUUAAUUCGAAGCAACGCGAAGAACCUUACCUGGUCUUGACAUCCCGAUGACCGGCCUAGAGAUAGGCUUUUCUCUUCGGAGACAUCGGUGACAGGUGGUGCAUGGUUGUCGUCAGCUCGUGUCGUGAGAUGUUGGGUUAAGUCCCGCAACGAGCGCAACCCUUAUUGUUAGUUGAUACAUUUAGUUGAUCACUCUAGCGAGACUGC
rnacentral:rRNA from 1 species